rnacentral:rRNA from 1 species
GUGGGGAAUUUUGGACAAUGGGCGCAAGCCUGAUCCAGCCAUUCCGCGUGCAGGAUGAAGGCCUUCGGGUUGUAAACUGCUUUUGUACGGAACGAAAAGGUUCUCUCUAAUACAGGGGGCUGAUGACGGUACCGUAAGAAUAAGCACCGGCUAACUACGUGCCAGCAGCCGCGGUAAUACGUAGGGUGCAAGCGUUAAUCGGAAUUACUGGGCGUAAAGCGUGCGCAGGCGGUGAUGUAAGACAGAUGUGAAAUCCCCGGGCGCAACCUGGGAACUGCAUUUGUGACUGCAUUGCUGGAGUGCGGCAGAGGGGGAUGGAAUUCCGCGUGUAGCAGUGAAAUGCGUAGAUAUGCGGAGGAACACCGAUGGCGAAGGCAAUCCCCUGGGCCUGCACUGACGCUCAUGCACGAAAGCGUGGGGAGCAAACAGGAUUAGAUACCCUUGUAGUCC